rnacentral:lncRNA from 1 species
GUUCAAAGAGAUUAGAGAGAGGUUGGAGAGUUUUAGAGUGAGAAACAUUACAUUUUGUUGCAGUCAUUUGAGAAGAAGAAAGAUAAUGUGCAAAUUUUCUUUAUAUAUGGAAACAAAAAUUCCAAUUAGGUUAAAUAUUUUCGACUCAGAAGACUUCUGGAAGACUUAUGGAUGACUCAUGGAAGAGUCAUGGAGGACUUAUGGAAGACUUUGAUUUAGGCGGGAAACCUAAAUUAUUCCAAAAUUCAGGCGGG